rnacentral:tRNA from 1 species
GUUUCCGUGAGUGUAGUGGUUAUCACGUUUGCCUAACAGCCAAAAAGGUCCCCUGUUCGAAACAGGGCUGGAAACA